CAGCCUGAAUUUCAAAUAUAUUAAAUGUAGACGUUUUUGUCGCUGGCCUACACGCAAUAUCCGAUAAUGUCAAAGUGGACUUAUGUUUUCAGAAUUGUUUAUAAAUUCAUAAAAAAUAAAAAGCUGAAAUGUCUUGAGUGAAUAAGUAUUCAACCCCUUUGUUUGACAAGCCUAAAUAAGUUCAGGAGUAAAAAUGAGCUUAACAAGUCACAUAAGUUGCAUGGACUCUCUGUGUGCAAUAAUAGUGUUUAACAUGAUUUUUGAAUGACUACCUCAUCUCUGUACCACACACAUAAAAGUAUCUGUCAAGCGGUGAAUUUCAAACACAGAUUCAACCACAAAGACCAGGGAGUUUUUCCAAUGCCUCGUAAAGAAGGGCACUUAUUGGGAGAUGGGUAAAAAAAAAGCUGACAUUGAGCAUAUCCCUUUGAGCAUGGAGAAGUUAUUAAUUAUACUUUAGAUGGUGUAUCAAUACACCCAAUCAAUACAAAGAUACAGGCAUCCUUCCUAACUCAGUUGCCGGAAAGGAAGGAAACGGCUUAGGGAUUUCACCAUGAGGCCAAUGGUGACUUUAAAACUGUUACAGAGUUUAAUGGCUGUGAUAGGAGAAAACAGGAUGAAUCAACAACAUUGUAGUUAUUCCACAAUACUAACCUAAUUGACAGAGUGAAAAGAAGGAAGCCUGUACAGAAUACAAAUAUUCCAAAACAUGCAUCCUGUUUGCAACAAGGCACUAAAGUAAUACUACAAAAACAAUUGGCAAAGCAAUUCACUUUUUGUUCUGAGUACAAAGUGUUAUGUUUGGGGCAAAUCAAAUACAACACAUUACUGAGUACCACUCUCCAUAUUUUCAAGCAUAGUGGUGGCUGCAUCAUGUUAUGGGUAUGCUUGUAAUUGAUAAGGACUGGGGAGUUUUUUUAGGAUAAAAGAAUAAGCAGAAUGGAGCACAGGCCAAAUUCUAGAGGGAAAUCUGGUUCAUUCUGCUUUCCACCAGACACUGGGAGGUGAAUUCACUUUUCAGCAGGACAAUAACUUAAAACCCAAGGCCAAAUCUACACUGAAGUUGCUUACCAAGAAGACAGUGGAUGUUCCUGAGUGGCCAAAUUACAGUUUUGACUUAAAUCUGCUUGAAAAUCUAUGGCAAGACCUGAAAAUGGUUGUCUAGCUAUAAUUAACAACCAAUUUGACAGAGCUUGAAGAAUUUAGAAAAGGUUAAUGGGCAAAUGUUGCACAAUCCAGGUGUGGAAAGCUCUUAGAGAUUUACACAGAAAGACUCACGGCUGUAAUCACUGCUUAAGGUGCUUCUACAAAGUAUUGACUCAGGGGUGUGAAUACUUAUGUAAAGGAGAUUUCUGUGUUUCAUUUUCAAUAAAUUAGCAAACAUUUAUAAAAACAUGUUUUUACUGUCAUUAUGGGUUAUUGUGUGUAUAUGGUUGAGAUUUAAAAAUAGAUAUUUAAUCAAUUUAAUAUUCAGGCUGUAACACAACAACAGGUGGAAUAAGUCAAAAGGGUAUGAAUACUUUCUGAAGCCACUGUGUCUGUAUAUUAUUACUACCCUCUCCUCCUGACUCCCCAAACCCCCUCUCUCUUCAGGUUGAACAAAUGCCUUAUAAACAUUGUUAAAUAGCAGCUUUGAAUGAUAGGAUGGUAAACGCUUUUGUUGUUUGUUUGCACAGCUGACUCUUCAUGCAGCGUAUGACUUUGAUUUUUAUAGAAAUUAGAUGGAUUUAUGAGUUUGUGAUAUGGAGACGCUUGACUUUCGAUGAAUAUAUUGUUUUAUGCGAUGGAUAGAUGAACACUGGUUUUCUCCAGACCGAGGUAGCCCGUUAAGACAAGUAAAUAUAUAUAUUUGUAACUGUAAGUAGACUCGUUGGAGUUUAAUUAAAGGUGGUGUUUGAAUUAUCCACAGAGCAAGACGGACCUGUGUUCCUCUGAGCUCUGUCAUGCAAUAACUAAAGUGUGUCUGAAAUGGCACCCUAUUCCCUGUAUAGUGCACUACUUUUGGCCAGCAUACUGGUCAAAAGUAGUGCACUAUCCAGGGAAUCGGGUGUAAUUGUGGAUGCACACUAACUGUCUUGAUGCCCUGGGCCCAGUUUAUCAAAACUUUUAAUCUGGAUAAGAAUGAUCUGGAUUCUGUAAUACUUUUUUGCAAUCCAGGAUCAGAUUGAUCUGGCUGUUUUGGGGCCAGUUUUUCAGAAAAUAAUCGGAUAGGAUCAUUCUCAUCCACAACAUGAAGAUCACAGAAUCCAUAUUGUCAGUGCUUUCAACAGGCCUACACCUUUCCAUCUAGUGGACAGGUUAUGGUACUACUACACUGUCAUAGGGAAACAGAGAUGAAGGUAACUUUAUGACAAAUAAUAGAGCCUGCAUAUCACUUAUAAGUAAGUACAUGCAUUUAUUUGACACGUCUCAAUAUAACAACUGACCACACACUUAAUACUGCGGUCAAUUUAACGUAAUGAACCUUUGGUUUUCAGAUGUAAGAAUGUUUUUAGUUACAUUGAAAUGUAUUGGUUGUGGUGCUUUUCACCUUUCUAAAUCCACCCUGAAUACACCCUUCCAGUGGGAUCAAGAUAAUCCAUACAUUCUAAAUCCACCCUGAAUACACCCUUCCAGUGGGAUCAAGAUAAUCCAUACAUUCUAAAUCCACCCUGAAUACACCCUUCCAGUGGGAUCAAGAUAAUCCAUAUAUUCUAAAUCUACCCUGAAUACACCCUUCCAGUGGGAUCAAGAUAAUCCAUACAUUCUAAAUCCACCCUGAAUACACCCUUCCAGUGGGAUCAAGAUAAUCCAUAUAUUCUAAAUCUACCCUGAAUACACCCUUCCAGUGGGAUCAAGAUAAUCCAUACAUUCUAAAUCCACCCUGAAUACACCCUUCCAGUGGGAUCAAGAUAAUCCAUACUUUCUAAAUCCACCCUGAAUACACCCUUCCAGUGGGAUCAAAAUAAUCCAGAUUUUAGGCAUCAAAACCAUCAUCAUCACUACCUUUUUUGAGUAAAAAAAAAAUGCAAAAACGACAUUUAAUCCCGAUUUUAAUGGUCAGAUUGGAUUACCAAAUCUGGAGGAUCAGAAUAAUUUUGUUUUCUUUUGAAAACCCCAAUUCUAACAUGUCAUUUUAUCUGAUUGCAGAAAUCCGAUCAGAUAACUUUUGAAAAACUGGGCCCAGAGACUCUUGUGUGCCUUCCACUUUGUAACAACCAUACCUUCUGAGGGUAAAGCAGCUUCAAUCCAUAUACUAUUGGCAAUAAUAUAACACAUUGAAAACUGUAGAUUUAAACUGUUGAUAAAAGUAUUUUAUAUAUAGUCCUUUAUAUAUACUGUAUUUAUGUAUAGCCCCCCCCUCCACCACCCCUGACGAACAAGGUUAAGUUAGUUUUAAAAAACAACUUCCAUUUUUGUAUGUUGUUGGUUCUUCCACGCCCCCUGUGUGUUGCACAUCACAACAAUCACGACACAUGAUCAUUUUGUCUUCAGGAUGGUACCUUAACAAAAAUAUGUAUUUGUCAAUCUUUCUCCUUGGGGAGAUAUACAGACUGCAAAUGUAUGGAAUAUUGAUAGCAAUAAUAAAAAGAUUUUCAGUUUGCCUGAGAAUUACAACACCAAAAAGUCCAAAGAAAAUGUCAAAGCUGAGUGUUAAAAAGCAACAUAUUCCAGUCUAACAUCAUCAUAAGGAUGUUUACAGAAUGUGAUUCUGAAUGCUGGAUAGAUGUAUGUAUGUAUGCCAUACAUUACAUAGUCAUGCUGUAAUAUAACAUGUUGAUUGGUCUGGGUAGGAACAACUCCUAUUGCCUUAACAUGUUCUCUGUGAUUGGACAAUGAUAUAUGUAUAUUCUUGCAUGUAUAUUUUUUUUCUCUGAGAGGAUGUUGCUGAUGACAACUGUCCAAGUCCAAUCAGAAAUAGAAAAUAAUUCUGCUAUACACAAAAAAACCUGCCUGAUGCCUUUAAAAAACAUUUAAAACAUUUUUUUUUAAGAACCUUGAUGCCUAUAGUUGUAGAUGCAGCAGAGAUGCUUGGUUCUGUUACUUCAAGGCUCUGUUUACACAGGUAGUCCAAUUCUGAUAUUUUUCUCACUAAUCAGAUCAGCUCUGAUAAAGUUAUGUGAUUGGUCAAAGAACCAAUUAGUGGAACAAAUAUCAGAAUUGGGCUGCCUAUAUAAACGCAGCCUUCUAGAGUAUCAGCACAAUACUUAUUAGUCCUGCAUACCAGAGGGCCAGUCAGUGAAUCUGCCUUGUAAAGGACACAGUGCAAGCGUCUUAGUAGAUUAUAUUCAGUGUGUGUGUGUGGAUGUGUGCGUUUGUACCCAAUAAACUGUAGAUAAGUGUUUUUUAAUAAUGAAUUUCAGUUCUGUACAAUACAAGCACACAGAUGCAUUAGGCUACUAUGCAAACCAUGACGAAAGCAUCAUGACAACGUGAUAUUUGGCAUCAAGUACAAAAUAACUGGUUUGUUUAUAAUAAUAUCUCAUGGCUUUUGUUUUAUGUGUAAAACCUUUUCAAAUAGUGAGGAGAGAAUGUCACUAUUUGUUUAUUUAAACUAUAGGAAGGCCUUAACUCAUGUGUUGAAUAUGAAUUACUGGUUUGUUGUCUGUAUGCUCUUCUGGGUUAAUAAUUGACUUGAGAAUAUACAUUUUGGACAGCAGGACGUUAGUUACAAGAGGAAGGGCUGGCUCUGGUGCUGCUUGUGAGACUGUUACCUAAUUCACAGUAUAGAGCUGAUCAGAACCGUACUGUGCUGGCUUGGAUGUUUCAUUUUCACAUGGUCCUUUCCAGCACAGUUCCAGCACUAUGUAGAUGCGUAAACAGGGCAGCCCAGUACAGCUCGGCUUGGCGCAGUUUGGCCCUAUAGUGUGAAUGAGGCACAUGAGUCCAGAAACAAGAGCAGCAUUAAAUUCAGUAACCGUUCGCUCUCUGCCAUCCACUUCUGUAAAACCAAAGAUCGAACAAUAUGUUCCCAUUUUACAUACUGGUAAAAAGCAACACAGACUGACAUUAGAACUCUAUUUUUGAUACUUUGAAAUGGAUGUCAUUCCUAACAGUUGCGUACAUAUAUCUAUAAAUAUAUGUUUUGUAAAAGAAAAGGGAAAUACAGGUUUUAGCUGAUGUUUACAGGAACCUUGUAUUGUCAUUUCAUGUAAAUUUUGUAUUUUAAAAUCAUUUUGUAAUUUAAGACUGCAGUGCUUUUUGAAUUUAUUCAAACGGAAU
rnacentral:lncRNA from 1 species